UGCAGUCGAGCGGUAGCACAGGGAGCUUGCUCCUGGGUGACAAGCGGCGGACGGGUGAGUAAUGUCUGGGAAACUGCCUGAUGGAGGGGGAUAACUACUGGAAACGGUAGCUAAUACCGCAUAACGUCUACGGACCAAAGUGGGGGACCUUCGGGCCUCAUGCCAUCACAUGUGCCCAGAUGGGAUUAGCUAGUAGGUGGGGUAAUGGCUCACCUAGGCGACAAUCCCUAGCUGGUCUGAGAGGAUGACCAGCCACACUGGAACUGAGACACGGUCCACACUCCUACRGGAGGCGGCAGUGGGGAAUAUUGCACAAUGGGCGCAAGCCUGAUGCACCCAUGCCGCGUGUGUGAAAAAGGCCUUCUGGUUGUAAAGCACUUUCACCGAGGAGGAAGGGUUCAGUGUUAAUAUCACUGUGCAUUGACAUUACUCGCAGAAAAGACACCGGCUAACUCCGUGCCACCACCCGCGGUAAUACAGAGGGUGCAAGCGUUAAUCGGAAUUACAGGGCGUAAAGCGCACGCACGCGGUUUGUUAAGUCAGAUGUGAAAUCCCCGCGCUUAACGUGGGAACUGCAUUUGAAACUGGCAAGCUAGAGUCUUGUAKAGGGGGGUAGAAUUCCAGGUGUAGCGGUGAAAUGCGUAGAGAUCUGGAGGAAUACCGGUGGCGAAGGCGGCCCC
rnacentral:rRNA from 1 species